CAUAUGUUUCACUGGGGCGGUGGUUCGUUAAAAAGUAACGCGAGCAAUCAAAGGCUUUGUAAAACCUAAACUAGAAAACAAAGCUUAACUGUAAGGAUCACAAGCCAAGCAGAUGUGAAAAGCAGGAAGUAAAGACCCAAUUAAAAUUGUCUUUUAAUUGAUCAACGGAUAAAAGGUACGCUAGGGAUAACAGGCUAGUACGCGCCUAGAGUUCAUAUCGACGCGCGUGUUCGGCACCU
rnacentral:rRNA from 1 species